rnacentral:rRNA from 1 species
UGACGCAGCAACGCCGCGUGAAGGAUGAAGGUUUUCGGAUUGUAAACUUCUUUAGUCGGGGACGAAUAAUGACGGUACCCGAAGAAUAAGCCACGGCUAACUACGUGCCAGCAGCCGCGGUAAUACGUAGGUGGCGAGCGUUGUCCGGAAUUACUGGGUGUAAAGGGCGUGUAGGCGGGAUCUUAAGUCAGAUGUGAAAUUCCAGGGCUCAACCCUGGCGCUGCAUCUGAAACUGAGGUUCUUGAGUGCUGGAGAGGAAAGCGGAAUUCCUAGUGUAGCGGUGAAAUGCGUAGAUAUUAGGAGGAACACCAGUGGCGAAGGCGGCUUUCUGGACAGUAACUGACGCUGAGGCGCGAAAGCGUGGGGAGCAAACAGGAUUAGAUACCCUGGUAGUCCACGCUGUAAACGAUGGAUACUAGGUGUAGGAGGUAUCGACCCCUUCUGUGCCGGAGUUAACACAAUAAGUAUCGCACCUGGGGAGUACGGCCGCAAGGUUG